ensembl:snoRNA
UGCCCCUGUCCUGGGUAGAGGAGCAUCUAGCUUGUGGUGUCCAUCUUAUGUCAGCCAGGACCAAAGCAAUUCCUUUUUUAUACUAGCUUGGACUUUGGUCUGUGUCCAGGCCUUGGAUAUAUUG